CCCGGAGCAACGUGUUCCGCCAAGCAAUUCCUUCUGGCAACCUUAUGAUUCAUGCAAAAUGAGUAGUAUAUGGCUUGACAGGGUGCUAAAAAAGCUCAAAAAAGCCUUGCAAUAGGAGUACGUUGCAUUUGCUGACUUUGGAAGGCUAAACGCCAGGUCUUUCAAAACGUUCGCUGCUCUGCUAUGUAUUUUGCCACGCCCUCGCCUUCGCAAAGACAGGCAUAAACUCUGUUAACUACCACGAAACAGCGGGCAUAGCAUAAUUAGCGCAAUUUUUACAGUUUUUUCUUUUUGUUUCUUUCAUUCUUUUGUGGAUGAUCUUCUUAUACUUGUAAUUUUUCUAUCGCAAAAAAGAAGAAGCUGCCGUCGAGUGCGCACGUGUUUGCAAAGUGAUUGUGAAAUAUGAAAACUUGGAAAAAUAUUACUUUUACAUCGUGAGCCGUCAAAUAUAUGAUUUAUGUAUGUAUAAAUACGUAAAAAUGCGUGGUUCGACUUUAUAUUGAAAUUGUGGAUGCACACGCAAAACCAAGCCGACGCCUUUGGAAUAGAGAAAACCGAACCAAGACGAGACAACGCACUGGGGAGAAUAUAUACUAUUUAUAGAUUUAAAUAUAAUUAUUUUCAUUAUGUUAUUAUUUAUAUAUCACAUUUGUCUAAGCAAAUAU